rnacentral:rRNA from 1 species
AUUGAACGCUGGCGGCAUGCCUUACACAUGCAAGUCGAACGGUAACGCGGGGCAACCUGGCGACGAGUGGCGAACGGGUGAGUAAUGUAUCAGAACGUGCCCAGUUGUGGGGGAUAACUGCUCGAAAGAGCAGCUAAUACCGCAUACGACCUGAGGGUGAAAGCGGGGGAUCGCAAGACCUCGCGCAAUUGGAGCGGCCGAUAUCAGAUUAGGUAGUUGGUGGGGUAAAGGCUCACCAAGCCAACGAUCUGUAGCUGGUCUGAGAGGACGACCAGCCACACUGGGACGGAGACACGGCCCAGACUCCUACGGGAGGCUGCAGUGGGGAAUUGUGGACAAUGGACGCAAGUCUGAUCCAGCCAUGCCGCGUGCGGGAAGAAGGCCUUCGGGUUGUAAACCGCUUUUGUCAGGGAAGAAACGCUCUGGGUUAAUACCUCGGGGUAAUGACGGUACCUGAAGAAUAAGCACCGGCUAACUACGUGCCAGCAGCCGCAGUAACAC